AUCUUCUAAAGAGAACAAAAAACUUUCUUGUCAAUCAAUCAUGCAACAAAAGUAAAUGGUGUCCAAUCUCAUUUCUCUAUGCUUCUAUCUUUAUCUUUAUGAAUGUAUAACCACACUCAAGAUUUAUAAUUUCUAUCCUAGCUUUUUUGACAAUACUCAUUGCAUAAAGUAUAACUAAAAAAGAACACAAUUUUAUAUACACACAUCACAUAUCUUGGGUUUGUCUUGCAUGGAAGGUUCAUAAGAUUCAGUAAGAAAAAAAUUAUAAAAAAAUUGAGUUUGAGAAACUAAUUAAACAGCUCUUUCUUGAUCUCUAAAUGCAGGUAACUACUGAUUAAACAUUUAUUUAUAAAAAAGAUUCAUCUUUUUGACAUGGGUAUUGAACCAAAAGUGACUUCAAAAACUUUAAUUAAGCACAUAUGUUUAACUUUAAUCCAACAUUGAAACUGUACAUUGCCUUGGUGAUAUUCGUCUAGAUCCCUCAAGCAUCUUGAUGGCUUUUAAGGGAGUUUUGUAGACAGAAAUAUGGUAUGUGCGGAUACUAUAAAGAAUGGAUGUGGAAAAAUGACAUCAAAAGGAAUGACGACAAGGUUGGUAUCGUAUGAACGACUGUAACGACACGAGAGUACGUGGUGAUAAGAGAAACACAAAUAGAAUCUAAUAUGUGUAUGUGUGUGUUUAUUUUGUCCUCAAGGAGGUACAAUGAGAAAAGAAGAGAAAGAAGAGUGUCACACAAUGAGGUUUAUGGAGAAAAGGGUUGAAAUGACACAAAGGAUGGGAGAGGAAAUGAGAAGUUAAGAACCCUAAUAUUUUAAUACCAUGUAGAAGAAUGAAAAUCAGGUAAUAUUGGGUAGGGAUAGUGUACAUUAAUUCAGAAGUGUAAGAAGUGUGAGAAGUCUAUUAUAACACCAUAUAAACACUGUAUAACACUAUGUAACACCAUAUAAUACUAUGUAACACUAUAUAACACUAUAUAACAAAUAUAACACUAUAUUUUGUCUAAUAGCAUGUCUAUGAUAUAUGCAUAGUUGUUAUAUAUAGUGUUAUAAUACACUUCUCAUACUUCUGGAUUUAUGUACAUGAUCCUCUACCUACUUAAUUAAGUAUAACCGUCUAACUAUCUAUAAGAGUACCGUAAAAAUAAUUACAAAUACUACUUGAUCAGAUCUUAUAUUACUAUCAUAAAUAUAAUUACAAUUCUCAUUUUCGAACUCCUAUAGUAUGACUACAACUAAUAUAGUUAUACUAUUAUAACUAACAUAUACUCUCAAAUAGAGUUAAGCCAAAUUAACCAACCACCCUAUCUAUUUUCUACACCCACACCGAACAAUUUGCUUUUUCAAAAGUUGACUUUAGGACGGGAUCGAACAAUAGUCAUUUACUAUAGUUACAAUCUAAUCAACUUGUACGUGUAGGGAUUCAAACCCACGUCACUUUUGCGGGAGUCAUCCUAAUGCCACUAAACUAUAAGGCUAAUGCCACUAGACUAUAAGGCUGUGGACGAAUGGACAUAUAUAUGAAUCGAGAAUAAGUUCUAUGAAUACCAUUCAUCCGGCCAUAAAUAAAACGCUAGUUGAAGACAAGAGAUAGAUAUGUUGUCAUCUCCAUCAAUUUGAGCCACACAAAUUGUUUUUCUCUGUCUCCAAAAUAUAGAGAAAGGGAUUUAAAGGAUCUCACUGAUGAAUGCCUUUUAUUCUUUUGAGUUCCGAUGUAGCGAUCUGUUAAUCAAGACCGAACCAUAGCCCGAAUCCAGGUAUCCCUUGAUCCAAAUCUCUAAGAUACAAUUCGGACCGAAAUUAUGCAUCCGUCACUACUAUGAGCUUUGCAACAAACAAAUAUACUCAUUCUUAUUAAAACAAUGACUUAAGUUCUGGAUUUUAAGAGUUAUACACUUAUACAUUUAUAUACCAUGUGCACCAUGGUGGAUAUAUUCAAGAAACAUAAAAAAGAUUUGAUCUUUAAGGCAAGACAAAUUUCACCAAGGCAAAGUACACUUCCUUUUGACAUUUUGGUUGGCACUCCUUUUUAAACAAUACCCCAUGGUUAAAACCCUAAUCAAAUCACAUGUGGAUUUCACUUUUUACAACUUCAAACAUGUGAAAUCAUAUUACCCAAUUUGCAUAAUAUAUUUUACUUUUAUAUUUUUCAUAACACCAAGUAAAAACAAGCUAAGAUAGUAUAUAAUAAUUAGGGUGUAUAAUGUUUCAACCCAACUGAUAUUAGAAACCACUUUUAACAACAAAAAAAGGUCUUAAUUGUUGACAAUUAAAUGGGAAAAAGGUAUACCUAGUUAGGCUGUAUACAUCAGUACAAUAAUUCCAUUAAUAUGUAAGAAAAUAAAUACCAAUAUCUAUAUAUAUAUAUAUAGUUUUCUUUGUAUACCACUUAAUUCACAUGUUAUAUGCCAAGUAAGUGAUUGAUGGUUCAUAAGAGAAAGGUAAAAGUAAAACACAUCCAUGUGGACUGAUCUAUAGACUGUUAAAUUCAUUUAUGAUAUAUUUAAUUGUUAACAUGCAUUGGAAUAAUAUCUAUGCAUGCUAGUGAGUGAAGUUUACAUAGAUCUGACAAGAAUAAAUGUACUUAGCAUGAAUAUUAUUCAUACGAAAUCAAAACUAGUAACUUUUUACAUCUUUAAAAAGAGUAAACCAACAACUUAAUGGCAACAAAAAACACAAAAACAAGAGUGAGAGAUAUCAUACCAAAUAUGCAAAUCAAGGGUAGAUCUGGUAAUCUGUUGUUACUUUCUUGGAUUUGAUAUUAUGUAUUGAUUCUCUCUCUAUCUUCCCACAGCUUUAUUGAACUGCAAAGUAAUAUAUAGAUCAGGUUGAGGUUGAAGCAUGCAGUUCAAGAAAGCUGUGGAAGAGCAGAAAAAGCACCAUUUUUUUUUCAAGAUUAUCUUGUUCUUGAGGAGCAUAACCCUAAUUAGGGUUCUUGAAAUCACACUCACUGUGUGUGUUUGUGUGUGUAGACUGUGAAGAAGAGAUAGAUAGAGGGUGUGGUGAGUGAAGAGGAGAGAAGGGGUAGUAUAUAUAGGAAAAACAGUUUUAUUUUUUUUACCUCCGAUCCCAAGAAGAAUAUCGGGUAUAAGUAUAACACAACUCUUAUCAGUGAUCAUACCCCACCUUCUUUCCAACCUCCUGUCGUUUAUAUUUCAUGUAAUAAUCAUAUAUUUAACGUUUUCUUUUACUU
rnacentral:lncRNA from 1 species